rnacentral:rRNA from 1 species
GACGAACGCUGGCGGCGUGCUUAACACAUGCAAGUCGAACGGAGUUAAGUAGCUUGCUACUUAACUUAGUGGCGAACGGGUGAGUAACGCGUGAGGAACCUGCCUCUCAGUGGGGGACAACAAUUGGAAACGACUGCUAAUACCGCAUAAAACCGUAGUACCGCAUGGUACAUCGGUCAAAGAUUUAUUGCUGAGAGAUGGCCUCGCGUCUGAUUAGCUAGUUGGUGGGGUAACGGCCCACCAAGGCGACGAUCAGUAGCCGGACUGAGAGGUUGACCGGCCACAUUGGGACUGAGAUACGGCCCAGACUCCUACGGGAGGCAGCAGUGGGGAAUAUUGGGCAAUGGGCGAAAGCCUGACCCAGCAACGCCGCGUGAAGGAAGAAGGCCUUCGGGUCGUAAACUUCUUUUACCAGGGACGAACACAAUGACGGUACCUGGAGAAAAAGCAACGGCUAACUACGUGCCAGCCGCCGCGGUAACAC